AUUAUUAUUAUUAUUGAUCUAUAUACCUUUGAUACCUCCAAUGUAAGGAUGUAUGACAGAAUUUGUAAUUGUGAUGCAUUUAACAAAUAGUCAGUGCAUCAGUCCUUGCAUUGUUUAAAUUAAACAUUGUGAUUGUAAAUGUUCAGUUGAAAAAAUAAUGUUAACGUAUUAAAAUUAAUUUUUGGCCAUUCUAAUCCUUUUUUGGUUUUGAGGCUUCCAGAUGUUGUAUGUAUUGGCUUCCAAAACUUAACUCUUGAGCAAUAUAAUUAAGAUGAAUACAAGUGUCAUGCACACAGAAUUUGGUAUUGUACACUUUUGUCUCCCCUAGGAUCAAUGUUGCAGAAUGCAAGACAUAUAUAUGCUUAAGCAAUGUCAACAGCAGCUUCAGAAAAAAAAGAGCUGGAUAAUUUAUAUCUGGUAUAUAUUCCAUGUCUUUGACCUCAUUUUCGUGGUUCAAUGACCACUUAAUAAAACCUAGUUGUCUCACCGUAAACCAAAUGUCAUGAAAUGGAUGCAAGACAUAGGGAUGCUUAUUUUGCAGUGGCUGUGUAAACUAUUUGUAUAAAGCUUUAUAUCUCAGAAUACCUGGUUACUUCAUAUCUUGCAUGUUUUUGUUGUCGAUAUCCUCAAUUUCAUUGUUAAGUUAUCACAAUCAAUAGGACAACUAAAUUAUAAUGGACAUUGCCACAUGACCUUGACCUCAUUUCAUGGAUCAGUGAUCAACAUUGAGUUAGGUCUCUUUCACCAUUACUUGAACAGUAGGUCAACUUUGCUUGAUGUAUAGAAUGAUUGUUAAUUGUACAUGUUCAUCUGAAAUUGAUCUCAUUUUUAUGGUUCCUUGGGCAAUGCUAAUUUUGGAUGUGUGGAAUGAUUUUAAAGUUUAUAUGUCUGUCUGCAGAGUACAUCUGACGUUGACUUCACUAUUAUGGUUUAUUGGUCAAUACAUAUAAAGGUUUAGCCAUUUGAUCUGUUUCUCGGAUACUAUAAGCAUUAGGUCAACUAUAUUGGAUGUGUGGAAUGAUUUUAAUGAGUAUAUGUCUGUCUGCAGAGUACAUCUGACGUUGACUUCAUUAUUAUGGUUUAUUGGUCAAUACAUAUAAAGGUUUAGCCAUUAGAUCUGUUUCUCAGAUACUAUAAGCAUUAGGUCAAUUACAUUUGGUAAUUGGAAUGAGGUACAAGUAAGGUGUACAUGUCUGUCUGGCAGGGUUUAUUUUAGUCCAAAUUAUAAUAAUAAUGUCUUUUAAGGUAUAACAAGAGCCAACGUGACUUGGUGCAUGCAAAUGAUCAUGUGGCAGUUUGAAACUACUUAUUUUUUAAAACUCAACCCGUCUGUCUGUUCGUCCUUCAUCAAAGUUUAUGUGGCUUCUAUGAAAAGGAAUGAUUUAAUAUUUGGUCUGCAGCUUAAUUAUGUUGAGUUGUAGCUAAAAAUCAACUUUUACAUCUGUCGUGUAGCCACUUCCUGUUCACCAAUAGUUUGAAAUUUUACAACACUCAUUGUAUGAGGAAAAUUUUCGUCAGUUUUGUUGGCUCCUUUUGAAGUGAAUGAUGAAUUUUGCUCCGGUAUACAUGUUACCUCGAUCAAUUGCAUGCAGUGAUGCCGGUCCAGACCCAUUAUUGUUCUUGUUAAGUUACAGAUGAAUACUCAACAUGUACAAUAUCAUAUAAGAAACAAAACUCAAAUGAUGUUUAACUGUACUUUAUUUUUUGUAAGUCAGCAUACACAUUGCUAUAAAUGCCUUCAAAUGCCUUGUAUAAAAUUUAUCUGCUAGUAUAAAAGCCUACAUAAGCUGUAAAAUAUGACGCAUAUCUAUGCAUCAGCUCCACCUACUGGCAAGGAAACCCUACUAAGGGGAUACAAUUCUUUUGAAUGAGGUGAUUCAUUAUGAAUGAAAAAAAAUAAUAUAUAAA